UAGAGUUUGAUCAUGGCUCAGGAUGAACGCUGGCGGUAUGCUUAACACAUGCAAGUCGAACGGGGCUUUACGGAGCCUAGUGGCGGACGGGUGAGUAACGCGUGAGAAUCUGCCUACAGGUUCGGGACAACGGUUGGAAACGACUGCUAAUACCGGAUGUGCCGAGAGGUAAAAGCUUAAUGUGCCUGUAGAUGAGCUCGCGUCCGAUUAGCUAGUUGGUGAGGUAAGAGCUUACCAAGGCGAUGAUCGGUAGCUGGUCUGAGAGGACGAUCAGCCACACUGGGACUGAGACACGGCCCAGACUCCUACGGGAGGCAGCAGUGGGGAAUUUUCCGCAAUGGGCGCAAGCCUGACGGAGCAAUACCGCGUGAGGGAGGAAGGCUUUUGGGUCGUAAACCUCUUUUAUUGGGGAAGAAGCACUGACGGUACCCAAUGAAUCAGCAUCGGCUAACUCCGUGCCAGCAGCCGCGGUAAUACGGAGGAUGCAAGCGUUAUCCGGAAUUAUUGGGCGUAAAGCGUCCGCAGGUGGUUAAUCAAGUCUGCUGUUAAAGCGUGCGGCUUAACCGCAUAUCGGCAGUGGGAACUGGUUGACUAGAGUUCGGUAGGGGUCACGGGGAUUCCCAGUGUAGCGGGUGAAAUGCGUAGAUAUUGGGAAGAACACCAGCGGCGAAAGCGCGUGACUGGGCCUGAACUGACACUGAGGGACGAAAGCUAGGGGAGCGAGAGGGAUUAGAUACCCCUGUAGUCCUAGCUGUAAACGAUGACAACUAGGUGUUGCCCGUAUCGACCCGGGCAGUGCCGGAGCUAACGCGUUAAGUGUCCGCCUGGGAAGUACGCACGCAAGUGUGAAACUCAAAGGAAUUGACGGGGGCCCGCACAAGCGGUGGAGUAUGUGGUUUAAUUCGAUGCAACGCGAAGAACCUUACCAGGGCUUGACAUGUCGCGAACUCUUGCGAAAGUGAGAGGUGCCUUCGGGAGCGCGAACACAGGUGGUGCAUGGCUGUCGUCAGCUCGUGUCGUGAGAUGUUGGGUUAAGUCCCGCAACGAGCGCAACCCUCGUCGUUAGUUGCCAGCAUUAAGUUGGGCACUCUAGCGAGACUGCCGGUGACAAACCGGAGGAAGGUGGGGAUGACGUCAAGUCAGCAUGCCCCUUACGUCCUGGGCUACACACGUACUACAAUGCUGUGGACAAAGAGUUGCCAGCCCGCGAGGGUGAGCUAAUCUCAUAAACCGCGGCCCAGUUCAGAUUGCAGGCUGCAACUCGCCUGCAUGAAGGCGGAAUCGCUAGUAAUCGCAGGUCAGCAUACUGCGGUGAAUACGUUCCCGGGCCUUGUACACACCGCCCGUCACACCAUGGGAGUUGGCCACGCCCGAAGUCGUUACUCCAACUGUUCGCAGAGGGGGACGCCGAAGGCAGGGCUGAUGACUGGGGUGAAGUCGUAACAAGGUAACCGUA
rnacentral:rRNA from 1 species